rnacentral:rRNA from 1 species
GAGGACGACCAGCCACACUGGAACUGAGACACGGUCCAGACACCUAUGGGUGGCAGCAGUCGAGAAUUUUUCACAAUGGGCGCAAGCCUGAUGGAGCGACGCCGCGUGGGGGAUGAAGGGCUUCGGCUCGUAAACCCCUGUCAUUUGUGACCAAGGUUGCCGGUUGAAUAGACCGGCAGCUUGAUGGUAGCGAAAGAGGAAGGGACGGCUAACUCUGUGCCAGCAGCCGCGGUAAUACAGAGGUCCCAAGCGUUGUUCGGAUUCACUGGGCGUAAAGGGUGCGUAGGUGGUUAGGUAAGUCUGAUGUGAAAUCUCCGAGCUUAACUCGGAAACGGCAUCGGAAACUACCUGGCUAGAGGAUUGGAGGGGAGACUGGAAUUCUCGGUGUAGCAGUGAAAUGCGUAGAUAUCGAGAGGAACACCGGUGGCGAAGGCGAGUCUCUGGACAAUUCCUGACACUGAGGCACGAAAGCUAGGGGAGCAAACAGGAUUAGAUACCCUGGUAGUCCUAGCUGUAAACGGUGCACGUUUGCUGUAAUUGGAAUCGACCCCAAUUGUGGCGAAGCUAACGCGUUAAACGUGCCGCCUGGGGAGUACGGUCGCAAGAUUAAAACUCAAAGAAAUUGACGGGGGCCUGCACAAGCGGUGGAGUAUGUGGCUCAAUUCGAUACCACGCGAAGAACCUUACCUGGCCUUGACAUGCACGUGGUAGAAGUGUGAAAGCAUAACGAUCCCGCAAGGGAAGCGUGCACAGGUGCUGCAUGGCUGUCGUCAGCUCGUGUCGUGAGAUGUUGGGUUAAGUCCCGCAACGAGCGCAACCCCUGUGUCCUGUUGCCACCCGGUCGAGAGACUGGAGCACUCUGGACAGACUGCCUCGCUUAAACGAGGAGGAAGGUGGGGAUGACGCCAAGUCAGUAUGGCCCUUACGGCCAGGGCUGCACACGUACUACAAUGCCCGGCACAAAGGGAAGCAAGACCGCAAGGUGGAGCAAAUCCCCAAAAACCGGGCUCAGUUCAGAUUGUCGUCUGCAACUCGACGGCAUGAAGCUGGAAUCGCUAGUAAUGGCGCAUCAGCUACGGCGCCGUGAAUACGUUCCCAGGCCUUGUACACACCGCCCGUCACAUCAUGAAAGCCGGUUGUACCCGAAGUCGCCGUGCUAACCCGCAAGGGAGGCAGGUGCCGAAGGUAUGGCUGGUGAUUGGGAUGAAGUC